CCGAUUGCAAUGAAACUUUGGAAUUUUGUUAUAUAUAGUAAGACUAAUCUUUAACGUAAAUUUCAGCCUAAAAUAUUUGUUAGUUUACGAGAUUUGCAAUAAUAACAAAAAAUUUAAAACUGCUAUAUCUUCCGUUCUAAUAAACGGAUUGAGGUCUACUUUUUUUAAAAUGUCAAGGAAAAUGAGAGGAAUAAAUCUCUUUCAGAACAUUUUUUUAUAAUUUUACAACUAAAAAAAUUAUUAAAUAAUAAUUGAAUAACUUUCGCGCGACUAACUAAAAUUCAAUCACUUAAACGCUAAAAUGAUCUUACCUGUGUUUUCUUUAAUGUUCCAAAGGAUUUUUAUUGUAAAUGUAAGUUUAACUUAAGAAAUUUUAUUAAUUUAUUAGUAUAAACAAUUGAGAUUUCUGCUAGUUGACGUGCAGACGACAUUGCGCACGCAGCAUUCUCACAUAGCCAACUGACGUGAUUCGUGGACUAAAUUGGCUAUGUGAGAAUGCUGCGUGCGCAAUGUCGUCUGCACGUCAACUAGCAGAAAUCUCAAUUGUUUAUACUAAUAAAUUAAUAAAAUUUCUUAAGUUAAACUUACAUUUACAAUAAAAAUCCUUUGGAACAUUAAAGAAAACACAGGUGUUCAAUAUGUGAAGGUUGGGUGUUUGUUGCGGAGCUGCUCCUGGAGGAGAUCUUGCAUUGCUGAGUCGCAGUUCAAUGCAAUUGGUUCAGUUGAAGAAAGAUUUUUCCAUUUGAAGAGAUGCUGUCAUCGUAUUUUUUAUACAACGUAGAAAUUUUCCCUUAUAGGUCCAUUUCAAUUUUUGCAAAUAUCUAAAAAAGACUAGGAAGGAUGUGGAAGAAGAAAAGUGGCCCCAGCAUACAAUUUUUUUUUCCUAAAAUUUUUUUUCUCUUUUCUUAUUUUUUUUUUUUGUGCUCCCAACCUUUCGCAGAAGUGCGAUCAAGAAAAAAGGGAUCUUUGGGAGUUGGCCUGAAGCGCUCGAGAAGUGGCGAUGACGUUAUUGCCCCGACGUGGGAUGAUUCGCCGAUCGAUGAGUCGUUUUUUAUUCAAACCACUUCCCUGUUUAAAACGGUUUUUUUUUUGAUAAAUUCAAAUUUAAAUAGAUUCUAAAGUUGAAAAUUAAUUUUUUUUUAUAUAUUUUA